CUACGGGAGGCUCCAGUGGGGAAUAUUGGACAAUGGGGGAAACCCUGAUCCAGCAAUGCCGCGUGUGUGAAGAAGGCCUGCGGGUUGUAAAGCACUUUCGGUUGGGAGGACUGCUUCUAGCACUAAUAUUGUUGGAAGUUGACGUUACCUUCAGAAGAAGCACCGGCUAACUCCGUGCCAGCAGCCGCGGUAAUACGGAGGGUGCAAGCGUUAAUCGGAAUUACUGGGCGUAAAGCGCGCGUAGGCGGCUAGAUCAGUCGGGUGUGAAAGCCCCGGGCUUAACCUGGGAACUGCAUCCGAUACUGUCUAGCUUGAGUACAGGAGAGGAGAGUGGAAUUCCAUAUGUAGCGGUGAAAUGCGUAGAUAUGUGGAGGAACACCAAUGGCGAAGGCAGCUCUCUGGCCUGAUACUGACGCUGAGGUGCGAAAGCGUGGGGAGCAGACAGGAUUAGAUACCCGAGUAGUC
rnacentral:rRNA from 1 species